GUGCAGCAGGCGCGAAAACUUUACAAUGUGCGAAAGCACGAUAAGGGAACUCUGAGUGCCUCCUAAGGAGGCUGUUCAGGUGUCUAAAAAGCACCUGAAGGAAGGGCUGGGUAAGACCGGUGCCAGCCGCCGCGGUAACACCGGCAGCCCAAGUGGUAGCCACGUUUAUUGGGUCUAAAGCGUCCGUAGCCGGCUGGGUAAGUUCCUUGGGAAAUUUGGCUGCUUAACAGUCAAGCUUUCAGGGAAUACUGCUCGGCUUGGGACCGGGAGAGGUCAGAGGUACUCCAGGGGUAGGGUGAAAUCCAUUAAUCCUUGGGGGACCACCGGCAGCGAAGGCGUCUGACCAGACCGGGUCCGACGGUGAGGGACGAAGGCUA
rnacentral:rRNA from 1 species